rnacentral:rRNA from 1 species
AUUGAACGCUGGCGGCAGGCCUAACACAUGCAAGUCGAGCGGAUGAAGGGAGCUUGCUCCUGGAUUCAGCGGCGGACGGGUGAGUAAUUCCUAGGAAUCUGCCUGGUAUUUGGGUAUAACGUCCGGAAACGGGCGCUAAUACCGCAUACGUCCUGAUGUUGAAAGUGGUGGAUCUUCGUACCUCACGCUAUCAGAUGAGCCUAGGUCGUAUUAGCUAGUUGGUUGGGUAAAGGCCUACCAAGGCGACGAUCCGUAACUGGUCUGAGAGGAUGAUCAGCCAGACUGGAACUGAGACACGGACCAGACUCCUACGGGAGGCAGCAGUGGGGAAUAUUGGACAAUGGGCGAAAGCCUGAUCCAGCAAUGCCGCGUGUGUGAAGAAGGUCUUCGGAUUGUAAAGCACUUUAAGGUGGGAGGAAGGGCAGUAAGUUAAUAACUUGCUGUUUUGACGUUAACAACAGAAUAAGCAACGGCUAACUUCGUG